ACACGGCCCCGGCCCUCGAGACUACGAAGUAGGGACCGGCUGAAUUUUAAUGGGCGGCUUAGACUAUGUGGCAGCCCCCGUCGGGGCAGAUGAAAC
rnacentral:rRNA from 1 species